GAUGAACGCUGGCGGCGUGCCUAAUACAUGCCAGUCGAGCGAACAGACGAGGAGCUUGCUCCUCUGACGUUAGCGGCGGACGGGUGAGUAACACGUGGAUAACCUACCUAUAAGACUGGGAUAACUUCGGGAAACCGGAGCUAAUACCGGAUAAUAUAUUGAACCGCAUGGUUCAAUAGUGAAAGACGGUUUUGCUGUCACUUAUAGAUGGAUCCGCGCCGCAUUAGCUAGUUGGUAAGGUAACGGCUUACCAAGGCAACGAUGCGUAGCCGACCUGAGAGGGUGAUCGGCCACACUGGAACUGAGACACGGUCCAGACUCCUACGGGAGGCAGCAGUAGGGAAUCUUCCGCAAUGGGCGAAAGCUUGACGGAGCAACGCCGCGUGAGUGAUGAAGGUCUUCGGAUCGUAAAACUCUGUUAUUAGGGAAGAACAAAUGUGUAAGUAACUAUGCAUGUCUUGACGGUACCUAAUCAGAAAGCCACGGCUAACUACGUG
rnacentral:rRNA from 1 species